rnacentral:rRNA from 1 species
GACGAACCGUGCGAACGUUAUUCGGAAUCACUGGGCUUAAAGCGCGUGUAGGCGGGACGGCACGUCGGUCGCUGAAAUCCCCCGGCUCAACCGGGGAACGGGCGCCGAUACGACCGUCCUGGAGGGACGUAGGGGGACCUGGAACUUCCGGUGGAGCGGUGAAAUGCGUAGAGAUCAUGAGGAAGACCAGUGGCGAAGGCGGGUCUCUGGACAGUUCCUGACACUGAGGCACGAAGGCCAGGGGAGCAAACGGG